rnacentral:tRNA from 1 species
AGCAAAGUAAGCUAUACAAGCUACUGGGCCCAUACCCCAGUGAAACGGAUUAAGCCCCGUCUUUGCCU